rnacentral:tRNA from 1 species
GGGCCGUUAGCUCAGUUGGCAGAGCACCUGGUUUUUAACCCGGUGGCCGCAGGUUCGAGUCCUGCACGGCCCA